rnacentral:rRNA from 1 species
CGUAGGGGGCUAGCGUUGUCCGGAAUCAUUGGGCGUAAAGAGCGUGUAGGCGGCCCGGUAAGUCCGCUGUGAAAGUCGGGGGCUCAACCCUCGAAUGCCGGUGGAUACUGUCGGGUUAGAGUGCGGAAGAGGCGAGUGGAAUUCCUGGUGUAGCGGUGAAAUGCGCAGAUAUCAGGAGGAACACCGAUUGCGAAGGCAGCUCGCUGGGACGUAACUGACGCUGAGACGCGAAAGCGUGGGGAGCAAACAGGAUUAGAUACCCUGGUAGUCCACGCUGUAAACGAUGGGCACUAGGUGUGGGGGGUGUCGACUCCCUCCGUGCCGAAGCUAACGCAUUAAGUGCCCCGCCUGGGGAGUACGGCCGCAAGGCUA